rnacentral:rRNA from 1 species
UUUGGGGGAAUGAAAAGCUUCGGCUGACUAUGUUAGUAUGCAUUAAUGCAAAAAAAAUUAAUGAUUAAAAUGUUAAAAAAAAAUUUUUUUUAAUAUUGCUAACGGUUUAGUGACUUUGUCACCUAAAGUUCUAGAUAGAAUACUGAUUAUGACAAUUUACUAUCUAUGUGUCUUGACCAAAUUACGUGCCAGCAGUCGCGGUAAUACGUAGAAGACUAGUGUUAUUCAUCUUUAUUAGGUUUAAAGGGUACCUAGACGGUUUAAUUAGUCCAAAGUAGGAUACGGUUAAACUAGAGUUAUAUUUAAGAAGGUGAGUAUUUGUGGAGUAGAGUUGAAAUUCUGUGAUACCACGAGGACUGGUAAGGGCGAAAGCAACCUUCUAUCUAAUAACUGACGUUGAGGGACGAAGGCUCGGGUCGCAAAGAGGAUUAGAUACCCUAGUAGUCCAAGCAGAUAAUGAUGAAUGCCAUAGAUUAGAUAAUAUUUAGUUUAUAAACGAAAGUGCAAGCAUUCCACCUCAAGAGUAAUGUGGCAACACAGGAACUGAAAUCAUUAGACC